rnacentral:lncRNA from 1 species
GGAAAACAUUUGACAAGUAAGGGAUAAUUUCCUAAAGGUCUGGAAAUUAUAAUAAACAAUACAGUUUAUGUAAUGGUAUAAACUGUAUUUCAUUGUUAGUUAUUCAGGAAAGGCUCUGAAUAUAUAACUAAUAAUAAUAAACAUGUUUUAUGUAACUGGUGAGGUAUCAGUUACAACUAUAUACAAAAAUGUCAGAAAGAGGUAUUCUGAUUAAAUUCACUUGAAGUUAGGAUUUUCUCUUAGGGUAAUUUAUUUUCUUAGUAAGAUAGCAGGA